rnacentral:rRNA from 1 species
UGGGGAAUAUUGGACAAUGGGCGAAAGCCUGAUCCAGCCAUGCCGCGUGAGUGAUGAAGGCCCUAGGGUUGUAAAGCUCUUUUGUGCGGGAAGAUAAUGACGGUACCGCAAGAAUAAGCCCCGGCUAACUUCGUGCCAGCAGCCGCGGUAAUACGAAGGGGGCUAGCGUUGCUCGGAAUCACUGGGCGUAAAGGGUGCGUAGGCGGGUUUCUAAGUCAGAGGUGAAAGCCUGGAGCUCAACUCCAGAACUGCCUUUGAUACUGGAAGUCUUGAGUUCGGGAGAGGUGAGUGGAACUGCGAGUGUAGAGGUGAAAUUCGUAGAUAUUCGCAAGAACACCAGUGGCGAAGGCGGCUCCCUGGGUUGACACUGACGCUCAUGCACGAAAGCGUGGGGAGCAAACA